rnacentral:rRNA from 1 species
UACGGGGGGAGCAAGCGUUGUUCGGAUUUACUGGGCGUAAAGGGCGCGUAGGCGGUCAGCACAAGUCAGUUGUGAAAUCUCCGGGCUUAACUCGGAAAGGUCAACUGAUACUGUGCGACUAGAGUGCAGAAGGGGCAACUGGAAUUCUCGGUGUAGCGGUGAAAUGCGUAGAUAUCUGGAGGAAUACCGGUGGCGAAGGCGGCAUCCUGGACCGACAUUGACGCUGAGGCGCGAAAGCUAGGGGAGCAAACGGG